UUUUCUGACCCAGGGCACCUCAGAGCAGGAAGGGCUUCUGUUGCUCCCAGAGCUCUCAGGGCCUCUGCCACUGCCUGAGGACAGAGACCAGAGCUGCGUUUCCAGCAGAUUCAGGCUGGUUUCUGGGGAGAAAUCCUGACAGAAAUUCAGAAGAACGGGAGCUGCAUUCAGUUAAGACAUGAAAACAUGAAAUACUUGUCUCAGGACCGUCUAGAAGAAUGAGCUGGGACCCACUUUCCGAGUCCUGCUGGAACCAGAGACCGAGAUAUUGCCCUGAUGUCUGAAUGCCUGCAUUGGGAUACCUCUUUUCUGAUAGUCUAUAUUCCUGACAGAACAGAACCUGCUCAUAUGAACACAAGGGAAGGCCAUGGUGGGGACUUGCCACACAGGUAAUUUUGGAUUUUCUCCAAAAUUCUUAACUUUCAGUACAUGUUUUCUACAACAAGUAUGUCACCUCUUAUAGUUCAGAAUGUUCAUACCCAGGGCACACCUGAAGGGAUUCUGGAUAGCAUGUUUACCACAAAAAGAUCGAAUGCUCAUGGAUGUGAAAGUUAUGCUGUCUAAGACCACUCUAAAUGACACAUACAAAAAUAUAAGUUGCAGUGAAGGGAGUUUGCAUUUUCAGAUUGUAGAGAUAUCCACAGAUUUCUGAACACAUUAAAACCCUUGACAGAAACAGGAGAGGAAGAAACAGCAAGAGCAGUGAUGCCACAUUGAGGAGAUCCAGAAAGAAUGAGGCAAGCCAGGAGACUUCCAAGUGGCGUGUAGGAUCAUCCACCUUCCAGGAACACACUGGAAAAGCCCUAAGGUCCUCACCCCUAAGCACACUUAACUUGUAAACUUACCACAGAGAGAUGCCAGGUGGACAGUAGAGAAGCCCGUAGACUAUUCGGUAAAGGUUGUGCGUUUGGAAAUAAAAACACAAGCAGACAUAUCAUACGACACAGAAACCAGAGACAUUGGCAGGAGAGUGUGCUGUACAGAAAGAUGCGGGUGUCAGGAGAGACUUAGAACUGAAAAUGGCCAGAGCAUUUCCCUCGUACCUCUCGGCACUUUUGGUAGAGUCAGUAUUGGUAUCACUCAUGGGAGUGACACCAGCUUCUGGAUCUGCUAAAGGCCCUGGAUGGGAUGGACAUUUAUUCUGAUUUGAGUAGACUGUUGGGGGAUUAAAAACAAAACAAAACAGGGGCGCCUGGGUGGCGCAGUCGGUUAAGCGUCCGACUUCA